UUCCUGUGGUGUCGGUGACCACCCUAGACAACAUUCGCGUCGUCCAGUGGAGAGACAUCAAGACCACCGGAGGCCUCAUCCAGCUGGAGCUGCAGCUGACCGAGGAGCCAUCCCCGGAGUGCUGGUGCAUACGUGUGGAGACCAACGCACUAUCCGAAACCGAACAUUUCCUGGUGGAGGAGUAUGUGCUGCCCACAUUCGAGGUCAAGGUUAAGAGCCCCAACAACCUGCUUAAGGGAGAGAAGACAAUCACCGUCGACGUCUGUGCCAAGUACACCUUCGGUCAGCCACUGAUUGCAGCCGCCGUGACGGUGAACGUGACGACAAGGCGCGGUCCUGCUAACAGUAUUAGUGACACCCUCACGACGGACGAGACAGGCUGCGCCUACUCAGAUCUGGCUGUGGAUGAACUGUUGUCAAGGUCCAUACGCUUCAGUAAGUAAUAGAUCAUUCUGAUGUAAGUAAACCACUUGUACUCGUUCUGCUCGGGCAUGUGUUUGUGAUGCAAUUGUUGCACUGAAGAGCACUGCACUGAUCGUGAUACAACGCAUCCAGGAUAAAAAC